rnacentral:lncRNA from 1 species
GCGCCCCGUUUCCCCCUGACAGCCGCCGGCUUUGUCUGCCGCCCGGCCCGCGCCCGCACCCGCACCCGCACCCGCACGCUCCCUCUCUUCUUUCUCCGCUCGCCUCUUUGUCCGUGUCUCCCUCGCCUCGCACCCCUCCCGCUUUGUGUCCCUGGGGAGACUCAGCCUCAGACCCCAGCCACCCCAGCCGGGCUGAUGCCGGGUGACCCCACACCCCUGACGGACUGACUGAUUUCAAAGCCCCAAACAGAUCCACCCACUGAGGCGGCUGAGAAAAGGAGUUCGGCAGGUGCAGCGCUGUCAGGAGAUGAGACAAGCUAGACACACACCUGCUCUGAGACAGUGGGCUGACAUGGGGGCAGCCUUGUCCGGUGGGACCGUCCAAGACGAUGGGAGUGUCCAGUACGGCAGCCACGAGCCACGUGUGGCCAGUGAGCACUUGAAAUGUGCCAGCGUGACUAAGGAAGCAUUGUGUUAGAGAGCUUCAUUCCCCACACCGUACCCACCCAGAUGCAGUGCUUCCUGGAAUGAACCAUGGUCUCCGUUUUUAUUCAAGGACAUGCUUCUCAAAAUGGAGGACGUGUACUUCCAGGGGUACCCGGUGGUAUGUCAGGAGGAAGGCAAAUGUGGAUGAGAAGUUCCUCUGUUUGCUCUGUUGAAGAUUUGAUGCCCCCUGUAGGAUGACAGUCAUUGCCCACCUGCCCAGCCCUGGAGAACCCACCUGGUGUGGCAACCCCAUAACCUUCCCUGCCUUGCCAAGGAGAAAGACAUGGAUAAUGCAAGAACACAAUGCACUGGUUCUUCAACCAGAAUGCAUUACAAUCUUCUGGGGACUUAAUAAAGAGACAGAUACCCGAACCCUUCUCUGAGCCUUCUGAACUUAUAGGAGUGUGUUUCCACCCACUCCUCAGGGAACACAGAUGCAUACCCACACCUGAGAGGCACUCUCAUGAUGAGAAGGUCCUGUCUGCAAGCACACAGCUUCUAGCACUGGAACGGGAAGCUCAUCAGGUUCAACUUUUUUUUUUUUCUGCAAGAGAAGAAAAAAAAGGAAAUCUCUAAUCUGCUGAUUAUUUCAGAAGAUUAUUAAUCUUUCGGGUGUCACCACAGAGACUUCAAGCAUGGGUAGAGUCAUAGCAAUUGUAGCCCUUUGCUUUUAGCAAUUAGUGUAAGAAAAUUAUAUUUCAGUUUAGCAGAAUUCCUUAUUUCUCUACUUAUGAAAGAAAAAAAACCCACCUUACUCAUUAGAGAACUGUUAGACCAGACUUAAAUUUUUAAGCAGAUGUCCAUGAAAAUUAUGAAGAAGAAUUUUACAAACUCGGUGUAUCUACUCUACUCAGCUCUGAAUCCAAUUCAGCUCAAUAUUAGUGGGAUAAAAUGACACUCCUUGGGCUUUUCAUACUUAUUUUGGGUCUGAACUCUGUGGGUUGGCAUUAUUUCUAUGGCUUUUUCAAAAGGCUUUUUAAUCUACCUUGAUAAGCCUCACCCUAAAGCAAAUCUAACUCAGCUAAAAUUAGUUACCCAUUAUAUUUUCAAUUGGAAUCCAUGUAACCCUCUUGUGAGUAGCUACCAUUUAUUCCAUCAUUUUAGUGAGCAUGUACUAUGUGUCAGGCACUGGACAAAAUGCAUUAUAGACACUGACCCAUUUAACUACUCUCAUUAACAAUGACUCUUAUUUCUCAGAUGAGGGAGCUGGGACACAAGAGUAGAGGUGACAGAACCAGGAUUGGUAUCCAUUUGUCCACGUGUCAUACUAUUGCCUGUGUGUACAGAAAAUAGAACUGCCACUUUUAGGGACUUGAUUCGAGUAAAGCAAAUAACAUUUGAAGUAUUAUCCAGUGCUGAGGCCUGUGGUUAUAGCCCUCAUGCGGGGAACAGGACAUCUGAUGCAGUGGGAAAGCAUGUUAUCCGAAGCUUUUAUUCAGUGGUGCUGGCUUUGACUGGCCCAGAUGUGCAUCUGAUCCAUGGAAGGUCAUGGAGACCUGUGACUCUCCACACCACUGUAUUUAUUUAAAAUGACCCGAAGGAAGACCCAUACGACCUAAAGACCAAAGGCAGGCUUUCUUCUAAUCCUCACACUAGCCUAAAUCAGUUAUGACUACCACUGACCUCAGGGUCCCAGAGUGACUCUUGGGAUGCUCUGCGAUUUUGGUUGGUUCCUAUUGCUCUCAGCAGAGGCCUGGGCCUGUUUUGUUUUGGUCACACUUGUACGAAUCUGAGCCACAGCUGUGACCUAAGCCACAGCUACAGCAAUGCCGAAUCCUUAACCUGCUGCAACACAGGGGGACCUGGAUUUGUUGACUGAAUUCACAGAUUUCCUUCCUGAACAGAAACAGGACUGCUCAUUUGUUUGAGGUGGAAGAGGAAGGAGUCGGGCUUCCAGACCCAAGUUAACUUACUUUAGCUUUUAUCUUUGUAACUUAGGAUUGCCUUUGCAGGUGCGCAGCCUGAUCCACUCCAGCCCAUUUUCCCCAUCUCAGUCUUGAGCAGGCUUUUGACAAGGGCUCCGUGGCUUUGGAUUUGUUCUCACCAUUAGGAGGGCUAUUGUCUGUCCUGCACCUACUGUGUAUGGUUUGAGAUGUUGCAUAUGCACUAUCUCAUUUGAUGAUGAAUUAUUAUUAAUCUGCCCUAAAGAUGAAGAAUUUGGGGUGGAAGGAAGUGAGUACCUUUACUGAAGAUCACAGCUUUAGAAAGGGGCAGAGCUGGAAUGUGAGCUCAGAUCAGCCAAACCUUCUCCCCUCGCCUCACAAGAUGCCUAUAAGAUAAUUGUUUUUUGGUUGGUCGAGACUAACGAGUCAACCAAAAGAACAUGAUACCAGAAUCUGGAGUUUUGGCUCAUUCUUCUGUGUGAGCUCUCUCCAAUAUGGAAAACAAAGGGUUAAUCUCUUUCACACACAAGCCUAUUUCUGACCCUCAGGGCAAAGUGGUGUUUCUGUCUUUUAUCCUCACUGGUUUAAAAAAAAAAAAA